rnacentral:rRNA from 1 species
UGGGGAAUAUUGCACAAUGGGCGCAAGCCUGAUGCAGCCAUGCCGCGUGUGUGAAGAAGGCCUUCGGUUGUAAAGCACUUUCAGCGAGGAGGAAGGUGGUGAGCUUAAUACGCUCAUCAAUUGACGUUACUCGCAGAAGAAGCACCGGCUAACUCCGUGCCAGCAGCCGCGGUAAUACGGAGGGUGCAAGCGUUAAUCGGAAUUACUGGGCGUAAAGCGCACGCAGGCGGUUUGUUAAGUCAGAUGUGAAAAUCCCCCGGGCUCAACCUGGGAACUGCAUUUGAAACUGGCAAGCUAGAGUCUCGUAGAGGGGGUAGAAUUCCAGGUGUAGCGGUGAAAUGCGUAGAGAUCUGGAGGAAUACCGGUGGCGAAGGCGGCCCCCUGGANGAAGACUGACGCUCAGGUGCGAAAGCGUGGGGAGCAAACAGAUUAGNUACCCUGGUAGU